UACGUAGGGGGCAAGCGUUGUCCGGAAUCAUUGGGCGUAAAGCGCGUGUAGGCGGCUGACUAAGUCCGCUCUGAAAGCCCGGGGCUCAACCCCGGGAGGCGGGUGGAUACUGGUCAGCUCGAGUCCGGAAGAGGAGUGUGGAAUUCAUGGUGUAGCGGUGAAAUGCGCAGAUAUCAGGAGGAACACCAAUGGCGAAGGCAGCACUCUGGGACGGUACUGACGCUGAGACGCGAAAGCGUGGGGAGCAAACAGG
rnacentral:rRNA from 1 species